rnacentral:lncRNA from 1 species
AAACCACACGGUACUCAGCAAGUAAAACGUCUAAACACAAGCUAAGGGGAUAAAAUACGGGUACUCCUACCACCCCCAACAAAACCUCCACAACUACAACCUGCAUUAAAAUCAACCCAACCUAACAGCUCACAGUUUACAUAGCACGUAGCUCAACAACAACACUUAGACAAAUUACAUAUCCUCAACAACAACACUUCAACAAAUUACAUAUCCUCAACAAGAAUACUUCAACAAAUUUCAUAUCCGCAAUAAGAAGCUCAAUAUUAAUCAAUCACAAGUUCCGCAGAAAGGCAAUCAGAAGAUCAGCAAAAUACGAUAUCAAGUUCACUAAUGAGAAGUAUGUGCAAUGCAAUGGAAUGCAAUGUCAAGUAUAAUGAUGCAUGUCUGACCUAGUGAUACACACCCGCUGUCUCUCAGUUCGGGACCCAUGGGGGACAUAUCUGUCCAUGCAUCUGUCGCGGCGCACGAUACGAUGCUCGAUAAAAGUAACCAUCGCGGCGCGCGAUACGUCCCUCGAAAUAUAGUAUCCAUCGCGGCGCGCGAUACGUCCCUCGAAAUGGUACAUCCUCUUAAGUACCCAUUCUUUCUUAAUGCACAUAACACUUGUCACAACAAAUGCCUCAGAAUAAUGCAGAUGACAAGUUCACACAUAUAAUAAGGAGAUGACCAUUUUCAUAACAUCGCACAGUUCACAACCACACAAACAUGAAGUUACAUCAACAAUGAUUCAACAAGCCUUCAACCCUUUCUCAACACAACAGACAUAAACAAGUAAUCACAUUACCUUUUGUUAUCCCCAUUCUUUUUAUCAUUAAAAUAAAUCAAUAUGGACAAGUCAACCCAUCACCAAUCCCGUUACUCCCAACAUAUACCACAAGGACAUAAACAAUUAAUCACAUUGUCUUUUGUUAUCCCCAUUCUUUUCAUUAUUAAAAUAAAUCAAUGUGGACAAGUCAACCCAUCACCAAUCCCGUUACUCCCAACAUAUACCACAAGGACAUACACGCAUUUCAUACACUUAACAAGAAUUUAGAAAUCCACUUGCCUCAAUUUAUCGAAAACUCACUCCAUGACUUGAGCCUUUAAUUUUCGUUGA